UAUAGAAACAAGGAAACUUUUCGGGGCUGUCAAUCAGGGCGCAAUCAGCUGACUGUCAGCUGGGAGCGCCGUAACCCCUUCCUGCCCGCCCCGUUCACCGGGGACCGGGCACCGGGCUGGGGCCGCUCCUCCCGCCGGGACGCGCCGUCGGGUGCCCGCCCGGCUCCGCUCCGCUCCGCUCCGCGCUGCCUUGCUUUGUCCUGCUUUGUCCUGCUCUGUCCUGCUUUGUCCUGUUCUGUCCUGCUCUGCCCCGGGGUGCGGAGCCCUCGGGUGCUCCUGGCCGGCCGGGCACCCGAGGGCACCGGGGGACUUGGCCCGGGGGCGUGCGGGGACGGCCCGAGGGAGGGGGCUGCUCCGGGGGGCUCCGCGGGGCUCGGCGGUGCUGCCGGGCUCAGCCGGGCUCCAGCCGCUACCUGGUGCCGGUACCGAGACCCCCGGGCCGCCCCCCCGCGGCGGCUCCCCCCUGGGUCUGCCGCUUGCUGCCGGCAGCGAUCGUUCCCCGGCCGUCCCCAGCAGAGAGGUCCGAAAGCCCUGCAAGUUUGCAAGCCCCGCUCCCGCCGGCGCUCGGCCGGCCUGGCCGGGCUAAUUAACGGAAUACAUCGCGAAACUAAUUGUCUUCUUUUUAGCCUCCCCUCCCGGUGCCCCCCGGCCGGGGCUGGAGGGGGGGGAGCCGUGCGAGCGCGGAGCGGGCUGCACCCGGCGGUGCCGAGCGGCGGCGGAGCGGCUCCGUUCAAACCUCGACAGCGCCAUCUCUCGUCGAAAGGUCAGUGCCGAGGCCGUCCCCGGCCGGCGCCGAGCCGCGGGAGCAGAGCCGAGCCGUGCCGGGCCGUGCCGAGCUGUGCCGUGCCGUGCCGUGCCGUCGGGGCUCCGCCGUCGGGGCUGGCCCGGCCCGGCCCGGCUCAGGUCGGCUCGGUUGGGGUCCCUUCUUGGCCCCCCUUGGGCCGGGGAAGCCCGCAGCCUGCCGAGCUGCCAGGCUCGCUUUGUCGAGCGGGCUUUAUGGGAAUAUCGAUAGAAUUAAAGUUACUUGUAAUUCCGUGA
rnacentral:lncRNA from 1 species